rnacentral:rRNA from 1 species
AGAGUUUGAUCCUGGCUCAGGACGAACGCUGGCGGCGUGCUUAACACAUGCAAGUCACGGGGGCCCGCAAGGGUAACCGGCGAACGGGUGCGUAACACGUGAGCAAUCUGCCGUCCACUGGGGGAUAGCCGGCCCAACGGCCGGGUAAUACCGCAUACGCUUGCCGGGUGGCAUCACUUAGCAAGGAAACCUCCGGGGGUGGACGAGGAGCUCGCGGCCUAUCAGCUAGUUGGUGGGGUCACGGCCCACCAAGGCGAUGACGGGUAGCUGGUCUGAGAGGAUGGCCAGCCACAUUGGGACUGAGAUACGGCCCAGACUCCUACGGGAGGCAGCAGUGGGGAAUAUUGCGCAAUGGCCGCAAGGCUGACGCAGCGACGCCGCGUGGGGGAUGAAGCAUUUCGGUGUGUAAACCCCUGUUGCCCGGGACGAACCUCCCCUUUCGAGGGGACUGACGGUACCGGGUGAGGAAGCACCGGCUAACUCCGUGCCAGCAGCCGCGGUAAUACGGAGGGUGCGAGCGUUGUCCGGAAUCACUGGGCGUAAAGGGCGCGUAGGCGGUGACUUAAGCGUGUGGUGAAAGCCCGGGGCUCAACCCCGGGUCGGCCGUGCGAACUGGGUCACUCGAGCACUGUAGAGGCAGGUGGAAUUCCGGGUGUAGCGGUGGAAUGCGUAGAGAUCCGGAAGAACACCAGUGGCGAAGGCGGCCUGCUGGGCAGUAGCUGACGCUGAGGCGCGACAGCGUGGGGAGCAAACAGGAUUAGAUACCCUGGUAGUCCACGCCGUAACGAUGGGCACUAGGU